GCCGACGUAGCUCAGUUGGUAGAGCAUCGGUUUCGUAAACCGAGGGUCACCAGUUCAACUCUGGUCGUCGGCUCCA
rnacentral:tRNA from 1 species